GAUGAACGCUGGCGGCGUGCCUAAUACAUGCAAGUCGAGCGAACAGAUGAGGAGCUUGCUCCUCUGACGUUAGCGGCGGACGGGUGAGUAACACGUGGAUAACCUACCUAUAAGACUGGGAUAACUUCGGGAAACCGGAGCUAAUACCGGAUAAUAUAUUGAACCGCAUGGUUCAAUAGUGAAAGACGGUUUUGCUGUCACUUAUAGAUGGAUCCGCGCCGCAUUAGCUAGUUGGUAAGGUAACGGCUUACCAAGGCAACGAUGCGUAGCCGACCUGAGAGGCUGAUCGGCCACACUGGAGCUGAGACACGGUCCAGACUCCUACGAGAGGCAGCAGUAGGGAAUCUUCCGCAAUGGGCGAAAGCCUGACGGAGCAACGCCGCGUGAGUGAUGAAGGUCUUCGGAUCGUAAAACUCUGUUAUUAGGGAAGAACAAAUGUGUAAGUAACUAUGCACGUCUUGACGGUACCUAAUCAGAAAGCCACGGCUAACUACGUG
rnacentral:rRNA from 1 species